rnacentral:rRNA from 1 species
UGCCGUGGUUAUAGCGGUGAGGAACCACCUCUUCCCAUUCCGAACAGAGAAGUUAAGCUCACCAUCGCCGAUGGUACUGCCCCACCAGGUGGGAGAGUAGGUAGCUGCGGUUC